rnacentral:rRNA from 1 species
GGAGGCGAAGAAGGACGUGGACAGCUGCGAUAAGCUCCGGGGAGUCGCUAACAGACUGUAAUCCGGAGAUGUCCGAAUGGGGCAACCCGGCAGGGUAUACCUGUCAGCCGCUGGUGAAUCUAUAGCCAGUGUGUAGCCAACCCAGGGAACUGAAACAUCUAAGUACCUGGAGGAAAAGAAAGCAAUUGCGAUUCCCUCAGUAGCGGCGAGCGAAAGGGGAGCAGCCUAAACCUGUCAACGCGAGUUGGCAGGGGUUGUGGGGCUUGCGACAAGGGACUUUUGGACGAUAGCCAAACGGCAUGGAAAGGCCGGCCAUAGACGGUGACAGCCCGGUAGGCGUUGGAAGGAAGCUCGAGCAAGUACCCGAGUACCGCAGGACACGUGAAAUCCGGCGGGAAUCUGGGAGGACCAUCUUCCAAGGCUAAAUACUACCUACCGACCGAUAGUGCACAAGUACCGUGAGGGAAAGGUGAAAAGAACCCCGGCGAGGGGAGUGAAAUAGAACCUGAAACCCUACAUCUACAAGCAGUGAGAGCACCAUGCUCUUCGGAGCCAGUGCGAUCGCGUACCUUUUGCAUAAUGGGCCUGCGAGUUAUCGUAUGUGGCAAGGUUAAGCCGUGAGGCGGAGCCGGAGCGAAAGCGAGUCUUAACAGGGCGUACAGUCGCAUGCGGUAGACCCGAAACCUUAGCGAUCUAUCCAUGGCCAGGUUGAAAGGCGGGUAACACCGCUCGGAGGACCGAACCCACUGAGGUUGAAAACUCAGGGGAUGAGUUGUGGAUAGGAGUGAAAGGCUAAUCAAGCUGGGAGAUAGCUGGUUCUCGCCGAAAUAUAUUGAGGUAUAGCCUCGAGUGAAUUGCGCCGGAGGUAGAGCACUGAAUGGGCUAGGGGCCCCACCAGGUUACCAAACCCAAUCAAACUCCGAAUGCCGGUGACAACUGCUCGGGAGUCAGACUGCGGGAGCUAAGUUCCGUAGUCGAGAGGGAAAGAGCCCAGACCGUCGGCUAAGGUCCCCAAAUCCAUGCUAAGUGUCAAAGGAUGUGGAAACGCUCUGACAACCAGGAGGUUGGCUUAGAAGCAGCCAUCUUUUAAAGAAAGCGUAAUAGCUCACUGGUCGAGCGAGUCUGCGCCGAAAAUGUAACGGGGCUCAAGUAUGGUACCGAAGCUGCGGACUUCCGUACGGAAGUGGUAGGCGAGCAUCGUCAAGGAGAUACACGCCAGACGGAGACGACUGGUUGCGGCCUUGACGAGAGCUUAUGCAGGCAUGAGUAGCGUUAAACCGAGUGAGAAACUCGAGUCGCCGUAAGCCCAAGGUUUCCUGGGGAAGGAUAAUCCUCCCAUGGGUUAGUCGGUUCCUAAGCCAAGGCCGAGAGGCGUAGGUGAUGGGAAGCAGGUUAAUAUUCCUGCACCACCAAUGAUGGCAUUGAAGCAAGCAGGGACGGAGAAGGGUAGGCCAGGCGCAGCGCAAGGUUGUCUGCGUUCAAGCCAGUAGGAGGAGCUGUUAGGACUCAAUAGAGACAAACGGCAGCUCUUAACUCCGAGAGGUGAUGAGGUCUGGACAUGUCCAGGACACCUGGUGAUCCCAUGCUUCCAAGAAAAGCUGCGUGCAGAGCCCCACUGGUGACCGUACCGCAAACCGACUCAGGUGGGCGGGGUGAGAAUCCCAAGGCGCGUGAGAGAACCCUGGUUAAGGAACUAGGCAAAUUGACACCGUAACUUCGGGAGAAGGUGUGCCGUUGGCGGUGACGCUCCUUGCGAGCCAAGCUGCCGGCGGUUGCAGUGAAAUGGGGAUUGUGACUGUUUACUAAAAACACAGGACUCUGCAAAGUCGCAAGACGACGUAUAGGGUCUGAUGCCUGCCCGGUGCUGGAAGGUUAAGGGGAAGUGUUAGCGCAAGCAAAGCACCCAACCGAAGCCCCAGUAAACGGCGGCCGUAACUAUAACGGUCCUAAGGUAGCGAAAUUCCUUGUCGGGUAAGUUCCGACCUGCACGAAUGGCAUAACAACAUUCCCGCUGUCUCAACCAGGGACUCAGCGAAAUUGCAUAGGGGGUGAAGAUGCCCUCUACCCGCGGCAAGACGGAAAGACCCCAUGAACCUUUACUGCAACUUGGCAGUGAACUUCGGGUUGUUCUGCGUAGGAUAGGUGGGAGGCUUUGAGGUCGGGCUUCUGGGUUCGGCUGAGCCACCGUUGAAAUACCACCCUGGACCAUCUGGGGUUCUAACCUAGGCCCGUUAUCCGGGUCGGGGACACUGCCUGGUGGGCAGUUUGACUGGGGCGGUCGCCUCCCAAAUCGUAACGGAGGCGUGCGAAGGUUCCCUCAGCCUGAUUGGAAACCAGGCGUAGAGUGCAAACGCAUAAGGGAGCUUAACUGUAAGACCGACAGGUCGAGCAGGUGCGAAAGCAGGUGUUAGUGAUCCGGUGGUUCCUCAUGGAAGGGCCAUCGCUCAUCGGAUAAAAAUCCUGGGGCUGGAGCAGGUCCCAAGGGUUUGGCUGUUCGCCAAUUAAAGCGGUACGCGAGCUGGGUUUAGAACGUCGUGAGACAGUUCGGUCCCUAUCUGCCGUGGGCGUAGGAUACUUGAGAGGAGUUGCCCAUAGUACGAGAGGACCUGGGUGAACGUACCUCUAGUGAUCCGGUUGUUUCGCCAGAAGCAUCGCCGGGUAGCCACGUACGGAACGGAUAACCGCUGAAAGCAUCUAAGCGGGAAACCGGCCUCAAGACUAGGUAUCCCGUCGUAUGACCUAAAGGCCCCACGUAGACCACGUGGUCGAUAGGCUGGGUGUGGAAGUACAGCAAUGUACGGAGCUAACCAGUACUAAUAGGCCGUGCGGCUUGACC